rnacentral:misc_RNA from 1 species
AACGCACAUUGCGCCCAUUGGUAUUCCGAUGGGCAUGCCUGUUCGAGCGUCAUUAUCCUCCCUCAAACCCUCGGUUUGGUGUUGGACUCUGGGGGGUGUUGAACCUCCCUGGUCUCAAAGACAAUGACGGCGUCCGUGGGACCCUCGGUGCAACGAGCUUUUCGGAGCACGCGUCGAGUUUUUCGUCCCGGCGGGCCGGUCGAGCCUUUUUUUUUUUUCAAGGUUGACCUCGGAUCAGGUAGGAAUACCCGCUGAACUUAA